CCUACGGGUGGCAGCAGUGAGGAAUAUUGGUCAAUGGACGCAAGUCUGAACCAGCCAUGCCGCGUGCAGGAAGACGGCGCUAUGAAUUGUAAACUUCUUUUGUACGAGGGCAAACGCAGAUACGCGUAUCUGUCUGAGAGUAUCUGACGAAUAAGCAUCGGCUAACUCCGUGCCAGCAGCCGCGGUAAUACGGAGGAUUCAAGCGUUAUCCGGAUUUAUUGGGUUUAAAGGGUGCGUAGGCGGUCGGAUAAGUUAGCGGUGAAAACCCGAGGCUCAACCCCGGACUUGCCUUUGAUACUGGCCGGCUAGAGAUGAGUUGCGGUAGGCGGAAUG
rnacentral:rRNA from 1 species